CUUCUUUGAAUUUUUCAUUACUUUCGCACAGCCGUGAUAAAAUUGAGUAAACAUCCGUUGAUGCUGAAUCAUUCGUUUCUCCUGCGGUGAGGCUGAAAUCACCGCACCGCAUAGUGGGCCCGAAUUUAACGGUUUACUUGGUCAAAUCUGUUACUAUUUGCUGCCAAGAGUCUUUGCCCAAUGCUACCUAUUUGCAUGCAGACGCUCUCUGACUUACUGACUCAUCUUUGAAGGAGAGGGCCAGUAGGAACGGUCACAGUUUCCACUGAGAGCGGGCCAAAACAAGUUUUUAAUCUGGCCGGGUAUUUGUGUGUUCGAUUUGCGAACAUACAGCCAAGCCAGCAAAGAGAUUGGGCCAAGGCAUCAUUGGUUUCUGCGCCUACUCUUUGAGCAGAAAAACGAUCGCGAAACUUUGGUCGGCUGGGUAAGUUCCCGCCAGAUGAUAACAAGCUGAAUUGUUUUGCUAAUUUGCCUUCUCGUCAUUUGUUUGAAACGAUUUCAUUCAGGUGUCAUUCAACUACAUUCCUUAGACUUCAUUUCAACCAUAAACCCAAACAGAUAAAAUUAGCAGCCGGGUUUUCUUCCCUUAGCCCUGCCGGUGAUUGCUUUAUUUGCCAGAGAUAAUUCGGGGCCACAGAAUGGUAGCACUUUUGGGUGACUUCAUAUAAUAAAAGAAGCAACGAAAACAAAGGAAAACAACUUCAAAUUUUUGUGUAAUUACGCGAUCACUUAAACAGACAUUUACUUUGCAAUAGAAAAAAGGCAGCGGCAAAGAUAAAGCCAAGAAAUAAACACGAAAAUAACGAAACGAACGCAAACGCUCGAUUGUCAUGAGCAGUCCGUUGGACAGUGGGACUAGCGAACAGCCUCAGAGACGAAAAGUCUGAGAGACUGACACAUAAGACAGGCGAGAAACGUAAAGAAAUUUGCAUAUAGUAUACGUUGUUGCUCCGCUGGAAUGUCCCACAGAUUCAGAUACAGCUACAUUUUAACGGCAACGGACCCGGCCAAAAGGGUAUUCGCCAUUUGUGUCAACACUCCGUUGGGCCGAACAUUCCGCUUCGCUUCGUCUCCAGCAACUGUAACAACUUUGCGCAAUGUAAGGGAAUUCGCUGAAUAAUGGCAACGUCAGUCCACGUCAUGUGGGUUGCGUUUUGGUGCAAUGACUCAUCGUAGUAUUUACCCAGAGAGAAGUUUGAUAAAUGACGACAUUGGGAUGGAGAAUCAGAGUUGAAAAUUUGUUUAGUUUUGUUUGGAAAUGAUCUUGGGAUCUUAAGUGUAUGCAAAAUUCAGUAUCUAUAGUAUUUAUUCAUAUUAAAUUUAAAUCCAAAUGCUCAAAAAUUGGUAGUAAACAUGGCGUCCUUAUGCUGACAUUUCUCCUCA